rnacentral:rRNA from 1 species
CCUCACGCAACCCGUACACAUGCAGUCGAGCGGUAACAGGGGUAGCUUGCUACCCGCUGACGAGCGGCGGACGUGGUGAGUAAUGCAUAGGAAUCUACCCGGUAGUGGGGGAUAACCUGGGGAAACCCAGGCUAAUACCGCAUACGUCCUACGGGAGAAAGGGGGCUUCGGCUCCCGCUAUCGGAUGAGCCUAUGCCGGAUUAGCUGGUUGGUGAGGUAAUGGCUCACCAAGGCGACGAUCCGUAGCUGGUCUGAGAGGAUGAUCAGCCACAUCGGGACUGAGACACGGCCCGAACUCCUACGGGAGGCAGCAGUGGGGAAUAUUGGACAAUGGGCGCAAGCCUGAUCCAGCCAUGCCGCGUGUGUGAAGAAGGCCCUCGGGUUGUAAAGCACUUUCAGCGAGGAAGAACGCCUGGCGGUUAAUACCCGCCAGGAAAGACAUCACUCGCAGAAGAAGCACCGGCUAACUCCGUGCCAGCAGCCGCGGUAAUACGGAGGGUGCAAGCGUUAAUCGGAAUUACUGGGCGUAAAGCGCGCGUAGGUGGCUUGAUAAGCCGGUUGUGAAAGCCCCGGGCUCAACCUGGGAACGGCAUCCGGAAC